rnacentral:rRNA from 1 species
CAGUAGCCGCGGGAAUACGUAGGUGGCAAGCGUUGUCCGGAAUUAUUAGGCGUAAAGGGCUCGCAGGCGGUUUCUUAAGUCUGAUGUGAAAGCCCCCGGCUCAACCGGGGAGGGUCAUUGGAAACUGGGAAACUUGAGUGCAGAAGAGGAGAGUGGAAUUCCACGUGUAGCGGUGAAAUGCGUAGAGAUGUGGAGGAACACCAGUGGCGAAGGCGACUCUCUGGUCUGUAACUGACGCUGAGGAGCGAAAGCGUGGGGAGCGAACAGGAUUAGAUACCCCGGUAGUCCCUGUCUCUUAUAC